rnacentral:misc_RNA from 1 species
AAAUUAUGCAUAUUUUUUAUUUUAAUAUCUAAUGAUUUACAAUUUGUUUUUUUUUCCCAACAAUUCAAACAAAAUUAUUCUUACAAGUAACGGAACCAAAUCAAAUCAACCCGUCCAAUUCAAUUUAACAAUGAAUAAUCCUUGGAAGAACAAACUCCAACAAACUAGAUGACUGAGAAGAGAUCUUGAAUUAUAGAACUAGUGAAAGCUCUAUUGCACAUCCAUAGCUGGUCACAUCCUCAGUACAAGAAUCAUCCAUGAUCAAAGGGAUAAAUGCUCCCUCUUCAUCAAUAUUACACAUGCACAUUUUUUUUUUCCUGAUACACAAACAAACUCUCGAGUAAUUCACAAGCAUAUUUUUUUUCCUGAUACACAUAAACAAUCUCUCGAGUCAUUGAUCCUUCUCUAUUGAUCUCAUGGACUAUAUGUAAUAAAGGGUUUGCCCUAGAUAUGAUAGUGGGUUUUACAUCUACACGGUGGUGAACUUAGCUUCAUGGAAUGUAUUAAACUAACAACAAUCAUAUACCACUAGCAUAUAGUUUAUCCUCUCAGAUUUGCAGGGGAAAAAAUCUCACAUCAGAGCCAUUUCGCUUUAAAGUAUGUGCCUGUUAUGUGUUAAGUACCAAAGUGCCCCUUCUGCAGCAUGCUCAGCCGCAGCUUUCUUUUUCAUCUGGGGAGCCCCAUGACACUCUAGAAUCGUAUUUGGUGCUUCUGUUUUGACCACCACUUUGUAAGUGAAAUACUUCAAGUGGCUUGGUCCUUCCUCAAAGCAGCAUUCAAACGAAGGUGGUUUCCAACAGUUAGCAGCACAUAUUUCAUGCAAACGUGAUUUUGCCGAUCUGACAUGUGAUCCAUCUUUGGCCAGUGAAUCCGUGUCAGAUCUAGAAUAUGCAAUGGUUUCGCUAGGCUGCCCUCCAACAGCUAAGUGAGAUGCAGGCUGUUUACUUGCACUCAUGGAAUAAAUUUUGGGGUUAAAGUUGCUGCCAACAGGCUCUUGGACCUUCAAGUUUUCAAGCGUAGUGGUGGCACAAGAAGCAGCAAUAUCUAUAGGGGUUUCAUCAUAUCCAAUCAAUUUGGCUUCCAUCUUUUGGCUAGACCUUAAAACUUCCUCCAAAUAGUUAGACUUGCGACUGUAUCCUCGAUCCUUCAACUUCACAAAAAUUUGCUCUGAAGCAAUUCUAAUAGCCUCUUUUUUUGUUUGAGUUGGUUGCAGAAGUAGCAAGACGUACAUCUUUCCCAUCAAUUUUUGCUUCAACCAAAAAACUUUUACCCUUCUUUGAUGUUGGAAACUGCAAAUCCCAAUUAUGAGAUUGACAAAGUUCUUGUAGUUCUCUAAAAGGAUUCAACCGCACAUUGGAAGAAUUCAAAACAGGACCCAAGAAUGAUAGCAUUAACUUCCAGAUGGAGUUCAGAUUGAACCCUGUGUCUACAAGAAUGGCACCCAGACAAGACUCCACCAAGUCACCAAGCACCUUGGGACAUUUUGGACCUUCAAGCAAACCCCUUCCUGAUGCUGGUGUUUUAACACUAUCCACAUAAUUUUUUAUUGCCUCUGAAAGGUUGCUGGAAUCACAUAAAAGAAACUUGUGGAAAGAUCGAUCAAUUGCAACAUUGGCAAAGGCUCUGUUGUUCACCAAUGCUGAUCUCAGAUCUGUCAAGUGACCAGGCUUCAACUUGGGAUAAACAGAAAACAGAUAUGAUGUGAUUAAGUAAUCCAAGACAGCAUCCCCAAGAAACUCGAGUCUCUGAUAGCAGCCUCCUCCAUGCUUGUUGUAGGAAGGAUGCACAAAUGCUUGUAGAAGCAGACCUUUAUGCAGAAAUCGAUGACCCAACAAUUUUUCAAGGUCAACAUUGUCUAUGGAAGGAGCAAGUGGCAUUAAGCUACUACUUGCUAGGCAUAUCUUGAUAACUUCUGAAGCUUCAAAGUCGACUCUGAUGCCCAGCCAUUUAAGAAAUGCAGCUGCUGCUUUGAAGCCACUAUCAACAAUAAAUGCUCCAACAAGAGCCUCAACAACAUCAGCAAUUGUUUUCCUAUGUAACCAAUGGUGACCUUUACUACAUCUGACCUCAUUAGCAUUUUGAGAAUGAAUAUUUCCUUCAGAUUCCUUGGUACAAAUUAUAUGGCAAGGACGACCCAAAGCAAAGAAUUGGCAGGGGUCAAAAGGUUGAUCACGUAUAUAUACCUGCAAAUUUUUUCUUCUUGCCAGCUUUAACAAAUUGGAAUUAUUUACAGCAUUAGAACGCUUCCUAGUAAGCUCCCCUUCAUCAAGGGUAUCAUGCAAAAGAAAAAGAUGUCGACCAACUGCAAAUUUGAGAAAAGCAUCACCCAAAACUUCAAGUCUUUCAAGAGAUAGACGCUCCUGACACUUCUCUGUAGUGAGUGCUUCUAAUACUCUAAAGGCAGUCACUUUAGCUCCCUCUGAGAAUGAACCUGAUAAUAAGCUCUUCAAUUCAAUGGCUACAAGCAAGUUUUCCAGACGAUGCAUAAUUGAUGGUAAUAGAGAAACUGAACUCCCAAUAUCUUUAGAGAAGCCUAUUAUCUUCAACUCACAAAGCUCAGCAGGCACAUCAAUGAAGUAUUCAUCGAGCUCUUGUGUUUCAGAAUCCUCUUGCCUUCGGUUGUGUAGCAAGUUGUGCAAACAAAAGAGCGGUUUUGCUUGAAGAAGAGGUUGUUCAGGAUAUUUAAGUUGAAUGCCAAACGUUUGAAUUAGGUGCUCCAAAUGACUUGGAGUGCUUGAACCUUUGUGUGGGCUGAAACCAUUUUUUCCAUGAAAAAUGUUAGACACAAAGUAGAACUGUUUCUUGUGUGCAAUGUAAACUAAACUAUUCUCAAUAUCCCUCAUACUUCUGCAACCAUUGGCAAGUUGCAAAUGAGCAACUGAAGGAAAAUUUUCUUUUUGCACGCUUCUGAAAACAGGAGACAAUAAACAUCUUCUUAUAACUUCCCAAUCAACUGUCACUCCACUUCCACAACCACGCAGAAUGACAGGAAGCAACAGGUAGAAAGUAUGGCUUGAUUUACAAAAGGAAUCCUUCCCCAAGGGAACAAAUUCUGAAAUGAGUUCUUUUCGGUCAAGGAUGACCUUUAGAAACAUUUCUUGAAAAUUCAUUGCCAUUGUGAUCUCAUCUCUAUUAAAUUUCAUGACUCCUGAUAGGACAAGCUUUGUUGUCACAAUUCUACCACGAGCCAGAUGAAGAUCGAGUUGCAUUUGCUCAGCCUCUUGAGGUAGAGGUGCCUUAAUAAAAAGACCAAACUUCUCAUAGGUCCUGUCCUUAGGAAAAGGACAAAAUUCAAUAUAGUAACAAUGUAGAUGGAUCCAGUUCUCUGAGGCAGUCCAUGAUUCCUUCAACAAAGCAGGAACUAGCAUCUCAUGCAGUUCACCUCGGGAACCCUCAUCUUCACAGUUGUCAGAAUCAGAUGACAGCAACACUGACUCUUCAUCCGCAUCUUCUUGAUGUGGCAAAAGAAAAUUGUUCAAUGCACCCAGUUGAUGCAAUUGUUCAAUGGCUAGCAGACAAGCAUCUUUUUUAGCAGCUUCUUGCGAAGGUUGUGGUGUGCCAACAAUUUGAUGUACUGGAGCAUUUGAGGGUAAAAUUAUGUGGCAGAUAGUCCCUCCUAAAUCAUCGAAAUAAAAAAAUUUUGGCAUGGGAUCAAAAUACUCAUCAUGUGGAAGUUUUGAGCAGUAACGAUGCAGUAAUGAGAUGCUAUAUGCAGAACUGACAGAAGCACCACUUAUAUCUACUUUAUAUACUUUUUCCUCAAGACCAACGAAUGUCUCAUUAGAUGUUCUCGAAGCAAUUUCCCUAUUCAUUUGAUCUUCAUUGUAUUUAAAACUUUCUAUCAAGUCUAGCUCCUUCUGGUUGCCUCUGUCCACCAAAAAUGCAUAUUCAGACUGAGGCAUACGUGCACGUCCUCUAGAUUGUAUAAAGCUGGCAACAGUUUCUGGAAGAUCAAAUCGAAUAACAAGGCAGCAUGUCUGAAUAUCAAGUCCUUCUUCACCCACUUUAGUUGCAAUCAAUAAAUUCAACUUUCCAGUUCGGAACUUCUCGAGAAUGUUGUUCAUAGUCUUUCGAGACACACUCCUCAGUCCAGAGUGGACCCCAACAAGAAAAUCACACUUCCAAGAAGUUAAAAACUUAAGAUUUUGCAAUAUGUAUGAUAGGGAUCUUGCAGUGACAAUCCUGUUUACAAAAAUUAUACACUUCAUAUUUGGUUGCAACCUGAAGUUGCAAAGGAUUCCAAUAAGGCGUAAAAGCUUUCUUGAGAAAAAUGGCUCAUUCAGAACCUCAACAGAUGAGAUAUCAGAUUCCACACCAUCUGUUGUGCAAACAGCAGCCAAGAAAUUUGCAGCCUGAGCUAGGUAUCUAUCACAACAAGAGUCAUUACUGAUAUUUCCUUCCUCUUCAAUCAGUGCAUUCCAUUCAGAGGGAUCACCACUCAAAAGAAUUUGACAAGCCUGUAAUGCUCCCCAAAGGCCAAGAUUUUCCAAACAAAAUACCACAUUAUCAUGCAUUCUACUGAGCACCUUUUUUGUAUUUCGAAGACCCUGAACACUUUGACAUUCAUCAACCUUCUUGUGAAGUUCUGAUAUGCAAGUGUGUUUUAUCUCCUCCAGUUUACUACAAUAAGUCAUAUAGUAACUUGAUGUGCCAUUUGCAACAGGACCAUACUCAUAAAUUUUAACUACAGGAGAUGCUACACAAUGUUCCAACUCUUCCUUGUCUUCAACUGAAUAAACCUUAGCAUCAAGUAAAUUUUCAAGACUAUUGAUGCUUCUUGGUAAAUUUGCCUGACUAGAAGCACCUUGCCCCACAACAGGAGAUGCAGUCAUGCCAAAUAUACGGGGAAGUUUUCCAUCAUUAGCCUUGUAGAAUACUCUCAUGAUUUCUGCGUAAGGAUGAUUGCUUUUGACUUGGGCAUGAUGACACUCAUCAAAUAUCAAAAGGGAAAUUAACUCCAUCUUGAUGAAGCUGUGACUUAAGGUAUGCAGUAGUAUCUGAGGAGUCAUAACAAGGACCUCAUAUUGUUCAAUCUCUUUUUCCCAAUCAUAGUGAUUCUUCAAGUGCUUGGAGCUCCCAUAGAAGAUCCCAACCUUGAAAUAGGUAGAUUCUUCUAUAACCUUGGCUUGCUGCUGAAUGAGGGCAACCGUAGGCGCAAGAAAAACACAGACAUUCUUCUGAGGUUUCCUUAUCAAGUGACCCAACUCGUAAAUAAGCAAUACAGCAAUGUGGGUCUUGCCACAUCCUGUCCCCAAAUACACAAUUAUGUUCUCCUCCAUAGCUUUCUUGCAUAGUUCCAACUGAUACUUUCUAGCUAUCUUUCUGGGAUCUUUCUGAGGCUUUUGAGGUACGGAGGAGGAAUCAGCUCCAUGAUCAGUAAUCGGCCAGAUAGCACAGGUGUUGGUGCUAUCAGAGGAGGAGGAGGAGGGACCAUCAGCUUCGCAGGUGCCUUCACAGUCAGGCAUGUGGACAAAGUGUACGUGAAGGAUUGAGAAGAGUGAGUGAAGCGAUGAGUGAAGAGGUUCUUGGGGUUUGGUUUUGCUUGUGUUUUCUUCAGGCGGUCUCGUUGAGUUAUUACAAAGGAUGAGAAGACAGCGUGUAGAAGAAUGAAAUGAAGAUUUGCGAGUGAUGUUUGGUAUAAAAUCUUUGGCUGGAUUCCCAAGCAAACGCUCCUUUUAUGCAGAGGCCGAUGUUUGCGUACAUAAUGACUUAACACUCGUCAACUAUCGUGUUUUUU